rnacentral:rRNA from 1 species
GAUGAACGCUGGCGGCGUGCCUAAUACACGCAAGUCGAGCGAAUGGAUUAAGAGCUUGCUCUUAUGAAGUUAGCGGCGGACGGGUGAGUAACACGUGAGUAACCUGCCCAUAAGACUGGGAUAACUCCGGGAAACCGGGGCUAAUACCGGAUAACAUUUUGAACCGCAUGGUUCGAAAUCGAAAGGCGGCUUCGGCUGUCACUUAUGGAUGGACCCGCGUCGCAUUAGCUAGUUGGUGAGGUAACGGCUCACCAAGGCAACGAUGCGUAGCCGACCUGAGAGGGUGAUCGGCCACACUGGGACUGAGACACGGCCCAGACUCCUGCGGGAGGAAGCAGUAGGGAAUCUUCCGCAAUGGACGAAAGUCUGACGGAGCAACGCCGCGUGAGUGAUGAAGGCUUUCGGGUCGUAAAACUCUGUUGUUAGGGAAGAACAAGUGCUAGUUGAAUAAGCUGGCACCUUGACGGUACCUAACCAGAAAGCCACGGCUAACUACGUGCCAGCCGCCGCGGUAA